rnacentral:lncRNA from 1 species
AACUCUCCUGUAAUUUCUCUUCUUUCAUAUCAGAUCCUUCGCGGUGUGGCUAUCUUUACGGCACGACUGUCAUCACCUUCACGGUGCGGCUAUGUUCGUUUCAUCACUCGUCUCAUCUCUCACUCUAUCGCGACCAACAAAAGGGGUUGAAAUCCAUCUCAAUCGCGGCUGAGUUCGUUUCAUUUUUUUCCUUUUUUUCCAGCAACUUAAGUACAUAAUGGCAUCAUCUGAUUAAUAACUCUGCUUCUUCUGUUAUUAUUAAUUAACAUUAUCGCCCAGAAGAGCCUCUGAAUUUGAAUUCCUUUGCGAGCUUUAGUGCUGAAGAAGCUCAACAGAGCAACGAUUGCCCUAUUUUUACUGACCCAUAUUUGGUUCCAAGGGUAUUCAUUGACGCAUGGUCUAAUGCUAAUGGAGUGUAUGACCAGAUCCACAAUAUAAAUUCUGGUACCAAGAGCUCUGUCUCUUCAAGCGGGAAUCUCUCACUUUCUCCUCUUUAAGUCUUUCAAUGGGAGGCAACAACACCAUUGAUGAGGAAAUUGGUCAACUACAAAUGGGGUUGGGCCUUGUGGAAUCUAGUCAAGAGUACCAUAAUUGUGAUACCAAACUUAAGUAAAGCUGGGUUUAAAACCCGGAAUCCGAAAAUCCGGAUUUUUCCGGGUUGAACCCGGACCGGACUCAGUUUGAAAAAAUUAAGUUUAAAUGCGGGUCUGGUAAUGAUAAUUGUGUGUUCGGGUCCAGAUUCGGAACGGUCAAACCCAGACCCAGAAAUUGCCAUCCCUACUUCCAUACAAAGAAUAUGUCAAGUUGAGAAAAUUGUUUGUUUCUUUUAAGUGACUUAAAUGAGCAUAACAAAAAAAAUAAAAAAAUUAAAACUAAAAAGGCAAAUUUAUUUUUACCCAAAUAUUAUGAAAUACUUAAAUUUAUCCUAUUAUAAACAUAAGAGUAGUGCUAUGCAUCAAAUUCAAGUAUUCUAUUUAUUAACGUAUUAUGUUAACUUUGAACGGUUGAUUAAUUUUGUCCAAUAAAAAUACCUUUUAAAAGUUAGAUUUCGAUCAAGUGCGUGUAGUCGCACACCUUAUAGUGUGCGACUGUGCAUGUGGUGAUUUAUCAUUGGUGGAGAUAUAUUUUGUGGCCCACAACUCCCCCAGUGAACACUGGGCACAUGUGCAAUCGUGCACUAGAUUGGAACUCUUAAAAGUUUAUAAUUAUGUUCUUCAUAUCAGAUCCUUCGCGGUGUGGCUAUCUUUACGGCACGACUGUCAUCACCUUCACGGUGCGGCUAUGUUCGUUUCAUCACUCGUCUCAUCUCUCACUCUAUCGCGACCAACAAAAGGGGUUGAAAUCCAUCUCAAUCGCGGCUGAGUUCGUUUCAUUUUUUUCCUUUUUUUCCAG